CCUACGGGUGGCAGCAGUGGGGAAUAUUGGACAAUGGGCGAAAGCCUGAUCCAGCCAUGCCGCGUGUGUGAAGAAGGCCUUCGGGUUGUAAAGCACUUUCAGUGGGGAAGAAAGCCUUGGGGCUAAUACCCUCGAGGAAGGACAUCACCCACAGAAGAAGUACCGGCUAACUCCGUGCCAGCAGCCGCGGUAAUACGGAGGGUGCGAGCGUUAAUCGGAAUUACUGGGCGUAAAGCGCGCGUAGGCGGUCUGAUAAGCCGGUUGUGAAAGCCCCGGGCUCAACCUGGGUACGGCAUCCGGAACUGUCAGGCUAGAGUGCAGGAGAGGAAGGUAGAAUUCCCGGUGUAGCGGUGAAAUGCGUAGAGAUCGGGAGGAAUACCAGUGGCGAAGGCGGCCUUCUGGACUGGCACUGACGCUGAGGUGCGAAAGCGUGGGUAGCAAACAGGAUUAGAUACCCGAGUAGUC
rnacentral:rRNA from 1 species